GGAAUAUAAUAAAAUAAGCUUCUAACUUAAUUUAUAGUAGUUAAUCCUAUUAAUAUUCCU
rnacentral:tRNA from 1 species